rnacentral:tRNA from 1 species
GGCGCUGUGGCUUAGUUGGUAGAAGCGCCUGUCUAGUAAACAGGAGAUCCUGGGUCCAAAUCCCAGCAGUGACU